AAGCUGAAAAGGUCAACCAGCCCCUGCCUGCAGUGAAAAACAAAUUCUGCUUGUCCAUGCAGAGAGCAGCCUGUUGUGGACACGUGCCGGAAGAGUGGUCUACCAGGAAUGGAGAAACCUCCUAGCCACAAUCCGAGAGGCAGAUGUCAACUUUACAACCAUAAGAAAAUGGGAAAUUUCUCUUGCCACAUAGAGUUUCAAAUACAUAAAAAGAAUGGUCUGCUGAAUUAAAAUCGACCCUCUGCACUGCAUCCAUUCAGCUCUAUUCUGCUCUAAAUCUUCGUAUUAAAAAAAAAAAAAAAGGUCA